AAAUUAGAAAGCGAAGAUUGCGUCUAGUUUCGGCCUAGAUUUUGGUUGAGACCACCUCUAAUU
rnacentral:tRNA from 1 species